rnacentral:rRNA from 1 species
AAACCAGCACCUCAAGUGGUCAGGAUGAUUAUUGGGCCUAAAGCAUCCGUAGCCUGUUCUGUAAGUUUUCGGCUAAAUCCAUUAGCUCAACUAAUGGGCCGCCGAAAAUACUGUAGAACUAGGGAGUGGGAGAGGUAGACGGUAUUCGGUAGGAAGGGGUAAAAUCCUUUGAUCUAUUGAGGACCACCUGUGGCGAAGGCGGUCUACCAGAACACGUUCGACGGUGAGGGAUGAAAGCUGGGGGAGCAAACCGGAUUAGAAACCCGAGUAGUCC